CCUACGGGGUGCAGCAGUGAGGAAUAUUGGUCAAUGGACGAGAGUCUGAACCAGCCAAGUAGCGUGAAGGAUGACUGCCCUAUGGGUUGUAAACUUCUUUUAUAUGGGAAUAAAAUGUUCCACGUGUGGGAUUUUGUAUGUACCAUAUGAAUAAGGAUCGGCUAACUCCGUGCCAGCAGCCGCGGUAAUACGGAGGAUCCGAGCGUUAUCCGGAUUUAUUGGGUUUAAAGGGGGCGUAGGUGGAUUGUUAAGUCAGUUGUGAAAGUUUGCGGCUCAACCGUAAAAUUGCAGUUGAAACUGGCAGUCUUGAGUACAGUAGAGGUGGGCGGAAUUCGUGGUGUAGCGGUGAAAUGCUUAGAUAUCACGAAGAACUCCGAUUGCGAAGGCAGUUCACUGGACUGCAACUGACACUGAGGCUCGAAAGUGUGGGUAUCAAACAGGAUUAGAUACCCGAGUAGUC
rnacentral:rRNA from 1 species